AAGAAAGAGACGCUCAUCAAACUGACCAUCGUAAAACCUUUUCCACUGCUGUAAAAUAGGACUAAGCCUAGACCUCUGAGCAGAAGGUUGGGCCCACUCUGAAGCCUUCUCCUGGUGUUUGUCUCACACCGCCCACCUCCCUGCUCUUCUCAGAAGCGGUUACAGAUCACAGCGCCUUGGACAGCACUCAUGAGACUGGGCUGUUACCAGGG
rnacentral:lncRNA from 1 species